rnacentral:misc_RNA from 1 species
CGUCAAUCAUAUUUGCUGUAUAAAUGAGUUAUGCGGCUUGAUACAAUAUGGUUACGAAAAAAUAUUAUGAAUUUUUUAUCACAUAUGCUGUUUUAAUUAUAAAGUUAAUACAAAAGACAGCUGAUUAUCAGUUAUCUUGUUAAAAGUUCAUCAAAUAAAUAGAUUUAUUUGUUGAAUGCUUACUAACGAUCAGCCGCAACCACCAAUUAAACUAAACACCUCCUACAGAUAAUAGCAGCCGGUCACAUAACACUCGGCACUAGUAGUAGCUGCAGAAGGUGGCAUCAUAAGGCAGUCACAAAAAAUAUGCUGACACCAUUCUCUUCCCCGGUUUUCACUCGAAUACCACCAGCUUUAAUUCCGUCUCAAAACUGCAACCAACAAAAAAUGCCUGAAUAAAGCACCUUCAUUAUAAUACAAAUUACGUUCAUUCCACAUGCAGACUAUUAAUCCUACGGCAAGUUGCUUCUAGAGCCCAGGCCCAAAUCAAUGAGAAUUGUGAAGUUCACUGCCUUUAUGAUCACAACAACCGCUACCUACAAGGCAUAACUGAUCGAAUUAUUUCAACUGCCUCAACAACACAGCAGGUACAACAGAAUCCAGCACCAGUUCUAUGGCGAACAACUUCUCAUUUAAGCAGCCAAUUCUUGCAGUUCACUUCGAGAACAAGAACCAGCUGAGAAUACCGCUAACUGUCGUUCCUUAAAGAAAACAAUCCAAUUCUUUCCUGUCAAAUUAAAGAAACUUUGAAACCCUCAACCAAGUAGGUGUUAGUAAGAACUCCUUUCACAGAUCAUAGAACAUCAAUGCGAAGUUAAAAUCCAUAUAGUUUGACUAAAAACUAAAGCCAGUUCCUACUUGAAAACAUGUUCCAGAUUUCCUCCAGUUGUGUUCUCAACAUUUUCAGGCUCACUGAAGCAGAGAUUCCAACACUACAAUGUGCUACAUCAGGAGCCAUAUGGAAUACUCAGGGGAACUAAAAUUUCCCUGGACAGAAUACAAAAAGAGAUGUAACUUACAAAGCUAAGAACUCAACCAUCAAAAUCAACUGCACCAUGAACAAGGUACAAGUUCUAACAGGGGAAAAAAUGUUGCUAGUUAUAGUUAAAAUAUAAAGAAAUCUACCUCAGAGGAA